UUUCCGAAGAGGUAAACCCAGGGCAACCUGGGGACACAAAGCUGCGGAUCCUGAAAUUUAUCCUAGGCGAAUUUCAGGAUGGCCGAGCUGGCGAA
rnacentral:ncRNA from 1 species